rnacentral:rRNA from 1 species
AUUGAACGCUAGCGGGAUGCCUUACACAUGCAAGUCGAACGCCAGCACGGAUUUCGGUCUGGUGGCGAGUGGCGAACGGGUGAGUAAUGUAUCGGAAUCGUGCCUAGUAGCGGGGGAUAACUACGCGAAAGCGUAGCUAAUACCGCAUACGCCCUCACGGGGGAAAGCAGGGGAUCGCAAGACCUUGCACUAUUAGAGCGGCCGAUAUCGGAUUAGCUAGUUGGCGGGGUAACGGCUCACCAAGGCGACGAUCCGUAGCUGGUUUGAGAGGACGACCAGCCACACUGGGACUGAGACACGGCCCAGACUCCUACGGGAGGCAGCAGUGGGGAAUUUUGGACAAUGGGGGAAACCCUGAUCCAGCCAUCCCGCGUGUGCGAAGAAGGCCUUCGGGUUGUAAAGCACUUUCGGCAGGAAAGAAACGUCAUGGGCUAAUACCCCGUGAAACUGACGGUACCUGCAGAAU